CCUACGGGUGGCUGCAGUGGGGAAUAUUGCACAAUGGGGGAAACCCUGAUGCAGCGACGCCGCGUGAGUGAAGAAGUCUUUCGGUAUGUAAAGCUCUAUCAGCAGGGAAGAAGAAAGACGGUACCUGACUAAGAAGCCCCGGCUAACUACGUGCCAGCAGCCGCGGUAAUUAGGGGGAUGGAAGCGUUAUCCGGAUUUAUUGGGUUUAAAGGGUGCGUAGGCUGGGAGGUAAGUCAGCGGGUAAAUGCCCCCGCCCAACGGGGUGAAGUGCCAUUGAUACUGCCUGGCUGGAAUGCGGAUGCGGUGGGAGGAAUGUGUGGUGUAGCGGUGAAAUGCAUAGAUAUCACACAGAACACCGAUUGCGAAGGCAUCUCACGAAUCCGCGAUUGACGCUGAUGCACGAAAGCGUGGGUAUCAAACAGGAUUAGAUACCCUUGUAGUC
rnacentral:rRNA from 1 species